UACGUAUGGUGCAAGCGUUAAUCGGAAUUACUGGGCGUAAAGCGUGCGCAGGCGGUGAUGUAAGACAGGUGUGAAAUCCCCGGGCUUAACCUGGGAACUGCAUUUGUGACUGCAUCGCUGGAGUGCGGCAGAGGGGGAUGGAAUUCCGCGUGUAGCAGUGAAAUGCGUAGAUAUGCGGAGGAACACCGAUGGCGAAGGCAAUCCCCUGGGCCUGCACUGACGCUCAUGCACGAAAGCGUGGGGAGCAAACAGG
rnacentral:rRNA from 1 species